GGGUCAGGAGGUUGGUCGUGCCACCGGUACGUACUGGUCUCACUGAUUCCUCCUUCCUGAAGAACCGUAAUGCCAUUAAUUUGGUGUUGCGGGGAAACAGGACUGUUACUUUGAAAAAAUUAUAGUGUUUAAAGCAAGCUAACGCUUGAAUACAUUAGCAUGGAAUAAUGAAAUAGGACGAUCGAUCCUAUUUUUUUGGUUUCUAGGAUUGACGUA
rnacentral:rRNA from 1 species